AGGUAGUUACUAAACCCAUUUAUUUUGGCGGCAUUUAUUCUAUUAGAGGAACUUGUCUUAUAAUCGAUAAUCCGCGAUAUUUUUUACUUAUAUUAAUAGUUUAUAUACCGCCAUCUAAAGAAUUAUUUAUAAAUAUUAUUCCAACAUAAAAAAAAUACGUUAGGUCAAGGUGUAACAUAAAUAUAAGAAAAGAUGAGUUACUUUAAAAACAAUUUAAGGAUAAAUUUACUCAAAUAAAUUUUUAAAAAGGAUUUAAAAGUACAUUAACAAUAAUAUUAUUGCAUGAAUAUACAGAUACUUGUGC
rnacentral:rRNA from 1 species